GCGCCGCUGUCCGCGCCAGCCCCGCCGGCGGCGCCGAGGGGGUGGCAGAGCCGGCCCGCGCCGCACGGGCUGCGCGGCCGGGGAAGGGGGCUGAGCGCUGUCGGGCUUCACCUGCGGGGACGGGCAGCCCAGCCCGGCUGUCCCUCGCGUCCGGCCCGAGAAGGCGCUGAGGGUCACCAGUGCGGUCAAAACCGGCUCCCCUCGUCAGGCGCCGUGUAAACACGAGAUAUGACCACCGUAAAGAAUUAGAAGUAUUCCUUGUCUGAGAUUCAUUAAUGUGUACAAAUUUAGAAGAAGGAAUACAUGCUUCACUCAAAUCUCGCCUAUUUUGCAAACCCGAGGUGUGGUCCAGAGGAUUUUCCCACAGAGCAAACAGAGGUAUGUCAAUACAGAAGAGGAGAUUCUUCAUUUUUGGUGAGAAAAAGAACAAGAUCCCUAUUCCAUUCAGUUUGCCUGCCAAAACUGAUAAUCUCCUUGGAUGCUGGCACAAGUGUUUUAGAAUGAACCAGUUUCCAGAACUUACUUCAUGUUUGUAGUGACACUCUGAAAAGGGGUGUUACCUUCUGUUCUCUCUUCUCUCUUCUGAAUGAAGUUUCAGAUAAAUUUUCUAGCUUUUUCUAAAAUAAACUUCUGCAUAUGUGAUUAAUUUUUCUUUAC
rnacentral:lncRNA from 1 species